UGAGUAACACGUAUCCAACCUGCCGUCUACUCUUGGACAGCCUUCUGAAAGGAAGAUUAAUACAAGAUGGCAUCAUGAGUCCGCAUGUUCACAUGAUUAAAGGUAUUCCGGUAGACGAUGGGGAUGCGUUCCAUUAGAUAGUAGGCGGGGUAGCGGCCCACCUAGUCUUCGAUGGAUAGGGGUUCUGAGAGGAAGGUCCCCCACAUUGGUACUGAGACACGGACCAA
rnacentral:rRNA from 1 species